rnacentral:lncRNA from 1 species
AGACAGCAGCAGCGGGCUUCCUAAAAACCUAUGGCUUUUUCUACUUCUUCCGUACAUUGAGCAAUUGAAGCAGCAGGUCCUGGUGAGUAGUCUCUGAAAUGUCUCUGCCGUUCCUGGGACCGGAGUGUAGAUGGGUCGACCCCUUCUUGGCCUAGAUUCAUGCAUCCUGGCCCUGUCCUGCCUCUCUGCUACAGUCAAAUUGGAAUUCUUACUGAGAAAGUAGGGGAAGGGAUAUCUCACUGCUGCCAUUAUCCAGUCUGCCCCAGAGCAGGCAGCCCUCCUCUGUAACCUUUCCUUCCCUUAGCAGCCAAGGCUGUGGGUCCAUCACAAUCCCAUGCCUUUGCCUGAGCAGCCCCUCACUUCCCAGUUGCCCAUUCUUUCUGUCCUAACUGUGCCCACCCUGGAUUUUCUGAUUUCUAAUUCCCUUGUAUUUUCCAGUUGUGUAUAGCACAUACAAGCUCACAAAGCUCAAAUGAUUACACUUAUAAAGUGUGUGUGUGUGUGUGAACCCCAUAUGUGUGUAAGUGCCCUCACAGGCCAGAAGAUGGCAUUGAGUUCCCUGGAGUUGGAGUUAGCUGCCCAGUGUAGAUAGAUACUAGGAACCAAAGUUGAGUCCUUUGUAAGAGCAGGAAAUGCUCUUUAAUAUGGCAUCUCUCCAGCCCCUUUCACGUGUCCGUAUGCAAUUUUUGUCUGAGACAGGAUUUCUCUAAUAGCCCCUGGCUGACCUGGAACACUCUAUGUAGACCAGGCUAGCCUCAAAUUUUAGAGAUGCAAUGCCUCCCUGCCUUUUGAGUGUUGGGUCCUAAGGGAGUGUGGACCACCAUGCUCCACCCUUCUUUUCACUUCACUACAAAUACUGGUUUAUCUACAACUCUCUAGCAGGACAGUGGAGGGCUGGAGUGUCAGUCACAGGAGCCUGUAGGUGGGACAAACUUGGGCCAACUGACAUCUCAGAGCAGUCGAAAAGAGAGAAUAGGUGACAGAUGUGUCUGUCACAGAACAGAAAUUAAAUGUUGUUUUUAAGGUUUAUUGUCCACACCAUUGGACAAACCUCUAAGGAACUUGCUGUCGUCUGACACACUGGUAGAUGUUCUCAUGGUGACAAGAGGGACUUUACAACCUUGAAGUGGUCUCUCUUCCAUCUUUGGCUGUGGAGAAGCUCCUAGCUACACUUUAUAAGCAACUGCAGAUCUCCAGGCUGACUGGAGGAAGGUGGUGUGGUCUAGGAAUAGGGCUGGGUCCUGCAGCCACAUGGUAUGAGGUGGAGCCAUCUUGGGGAACUCUCUAGGCCUCCUAAGCCUCAAGUGCCUUCCUUGUGGUAAUUAAACAUGCUGAGGAGGAUUUCCACAGCACUGGGCGGGGAGAACGCACUUACAAAUUUCUUUUUUUUUAAAGAUUUAUUUAUUUAUUUAUUUAUUUAUUUAUUUAUUAUAUGUAAGUACACUGUAGUUGUCUUCAGAUACACCAGAAGAGGGCAUCAGAUCUCAUUGUGGGUGGUUGUGAGCCACCAUGUGGUUGCUGGGAUUUGAACUUCGGACCUUCGGAAGAGCAGUCGGGUGCUCUUACCCACUGAGCCAUCUCACCAGCCCACAAAUUUCUUAAGUAAAGAACCCAAAGCCAACCGUGUGAGAGUUAGUGAUGAGUAGCCCAGGCUAGCCUCUUUGGGUGGGAAAUGUGAUGUGAUUAAGGCUGGCUGGCCUCUGGCUUGUCAUCUUCCUGCCUCAAUGUCCCAAAUACUUGGUAGGGUUUCUUUUUAAAACUGGAUUUCAUAUAUGUCUAUAGUGUAUUUUGGUCAUUCGCAUCCAUCUCUCUCUCUCUCCCCCCGCACCCACCCCCACUCCCGCUGAACCCUCUUCUAACAAGUCCUCUUCUGCUUUCAGGUCUUUGGUUUUUUGGGGAAGCCAAUGAGUGUAAUUAGAGUUACCUGUAUGAGCCUGGGUAUUGGGUCAUUUACUGGGACAUGGGCAAGUUACCAGUGGCUACACUGCUGUCAAAAUGCUUCUCUCUUCCCCACAAACCAUAGUCUCUCCAAAAGGGGAUGUGCCUGAAGAGCCCCAUCUCCAUCCAUGAUGGCGUGUUGCUGGGCCCCAUCUUGUUCCAGUCCCCUCAGAUGCUGGGAGUCCCUGUGCAAUGGCUAGGCUGUAGCUAGCAGACAUCAUUUCCUGACACCCCAGCUCUUAUAUCUCCUCUGCUUCUCUUCCAUGACAGUUCCUGAGCCUUGGGAGAGAGUUUUGAAAUAGCUGUCCCAUUAAAAUUUUUAAAUUUUAUGGGCAUGUGUGUUUUGCCUACAUCUGUGUGCUACAUACAUGCCCAGUGCCUGCAGAGACCAGAGAGGCAUAGGAUCUCAUGGAGUGGAUUACUGAUGGCUGUGAGCUUCCAUGAGCGCUGGGAAUCAAACCCAGGUCCAACGGGAGAGCAGUCAGCGCCAUCUUUCUAGCCCUCAGACGUUCCAUGUAAGACUGGGUUCUCUGUAUUCUGACCAGUUGUGGGCCUCGGCAUUAACCACUGCUUAUUGCAAAUGGCAGAUUCUCUGACCAAGGCUGAGAGCAAUAGGAAUGAACCUAUGGGUGUAAAUUAAGUAUUCAGGGGACAGUUGGACACCAUGUCCAUUUACCAAAAUAAUGUCCGGCUUUGCCCUAAGGCCCGUGACCUCAGCCAUGGGGUUCUGACCAGGUUUACAGAACCAGGCAUGGACCUCCUCUUAUGGGUCUCGAAUCCAACCAGAAAGCAGUUGCACAAAUGGGGGCAUCUCGCCCGGCAUUGUAGCUUACAAGGUUCACAGCUGGGUAGGAACGUCGACUUCUCCCCCGACCCGACCAGUCUGCACAGCACCUCCACGCGAUGGGAGCUAGCCUGCAGGAAGGAUGCUGCCAGCUCAGCUCUAACGUGAUUUCUCUACGUCCUGCAAUGGAAGUGUGUGUCGUCUUUGGCAAUGGAGUCUUCCAUCAAGUUCUAAAGAACAACCAAGAGCAAUGGCAACCCUGUAUGGUCUUGAGGGCUCUAGGUUGUUCUCCUAACUAUGGAAGAUGACUGGAGCCAGGAACGCAUGACAGGGGCGGCCAAUGUUAAGGCACCACUACUAGGAAAGUAUUUACCGGACCUGCUCAGUUGGCAGUUAGCGUGCAGACUGUAACACGCCAACCAGCAUUGAUGCUGAAGGGGCUUCAGGGGUCACCUGGACUAGUGACCCAGAAGGAGGAAAGCAGUGGUGGAGGGAAGCUCAAACACAGAAAGAGGCAGAUCCAGGCUAAUGCAUCCGGUUCCCACCAGAGCAGGAUUAGACCGGACAAAUGGUGCUAUUCUGCUACUUGAAGGUCUUUCCAAAGAUCCCGAGAGAAGGCUGCCACAGCUAAGGGUGGCUUUCAGGUGCUAUCGCUCAGGCUGGAUUAGACAUGAGAACGUCCAUUUCUGAAGGACAGUGUAUUCUCCAUCACUGCAGCACAUGACCUCAGGCAGCAGACGAAGGAGCCUGUGCCGAGCUCCUGGACUCACCCCACUGGGCCCUUGUGGCCGGAGCUUCCCUCUGCUGACCCCCUACCCGACUCCACUCCCUCACCCUGUGCAGGGUCCCGUCUCUACAGUGCCAGAGUGUCCUCUACAGAGCAUGUUGCCUAUGAAUACAUAGCUCCCCCAGCAGAAGAUGGCAUGGGGCUGUUUGCUUAUUAAAAUCUUAUCCUGUCCAUAACGCUUUGCUUUUUAUAAAAACCCAUACAUACUGAGCCACCACAUGGGAAGGGAGACCUUUAUAUGUUACUCAUAUUUUCCCAUUUAUUUAAGCUAUUAAAAUGCAUGCAGAUAUUUUAUAAGCCAUCAGGAUUCGAUGGCUGCUAUUACUGAAUGUUUAAUAAUAAACUAAACAGAAGAAA